GGAUUCAGCAAAGGGAUAGCUGCAUACUGGCUGGUACAGAACAUUUGGGGACACUUGCAAUCCCUUAUCGGUACUUCGUUUUCGUUUGACGCAGCCAUAUUCGAAAAUAUAAUUGUUAUGUCCUGUUGUGUCAUGGUGGUUUGUGUUUAACCAGAAUUCAGAAUUAACUCAAGUUGACAAGUGCGAGUGCCUGCGAUAUUCUCAGGUUGCAGCUUCUCGAAUGCUGAAUGUUUAGUCUCUUCAGACCCUAGAUUUCCACCACUUGGACAGAGUCGAGCCAGCAUCCGUCACUCACGACAAUGACGGCCACCUCGGUCCUCUCCCCCUCCUCUUUUGGCUGCUGGUAAUUUUGCCGUUGCUUCCUGGCUUCAAUUACCAGUUUAAAUAUGCAAAUAUUCACCUCCUUGUGCAAUUCAGGUCCGUUUAAAUUAUACUGCCAUGGUUUAAAAUCUGGAUAAAAUUACUAUAGCAGUACUGUGAUUCGCUCUGUGACUUCUCUUUCGCACUUGGAACAACAGAAUAGAAAUUGGUUGCUGAGGUAAGGUAAUCAAGAAAAAUCCCCAUUGUUUUUUUUUCUGAUUGUGGUUAUAGUCUAUUUUAAGCCCACAUAAUUUUCUGUUGUUGUGAAUUGUAUUCACCUGCAUGUAGAAAUGGUAAGAUAAAAUUGUUUCACAUUUGAGUAUAUAAUAAAGUUCAGGAUAUUGGGAAGCUUUCUCACAUCAUGCAAGGAUAUAAAACCUAGAAAACUUCAAACAAUAGUGAAGCCAUCACACAACGUCUCCUAGGAGCAUCUCAAAUGUCCUUCGAUAAACUUAAUAUAAGCAGGUUAACUGGAGUGAAUUUUCUUCUCUUUGCUUUGCAUCACUUUCAUAAAGUCUUCGGUACCCUAAAUCUUUACAAGGAAGCUAGGCCCGUGUAUUUUUGUAAUGAUAUUUAGUUCUAUAGGCAACCUGCUUGCAUAGUAUAUUAUAACCUCUUUUUAACUUGCCUUUAAUAACAGACAUGAUGGUACACAAAUUAGUUUUAGGAUGAUACUACUAAGAUGAAUCUUACCAGAUGUACCAUGGAAACAAAUAAUCAUUCACGAGAGUGCACCAAGAACAAUUGUUUUGGACUUUUAUGAAGUUAAAUUCUGUGACUUUGUACAUAAAUGCUUAGGUACAUUACAACAUAUAAUUUCAUAAGUACAAUUUUUAAACGUCAAGUAGAAAUUCAUUUGUACUUUUUUGCCUUUUAUGAUUGAAUAUUUUUCUAUUCAUACAUGAAUUUUCACGUGCAAGCUUACUAAUUUGCUUAAGUUCAGCAAGUGUUGGUCGACAGGCUAUGUUCUGACGUUGUAUGUUCAUGAUUUAUAAUCAUGAAAGAUUAGAUGAAGCAACUUGAGGCAAGCUUAAAAUCAUAUCUAAUAGAUAUCUUUUCUUGUUACAUCCGUAGCAAGAUUUUCAAGUUGUUAGCCAUACAAAAAGUAAGCUAGAUUUUCAAGCUACUUGUGUGUAGUACUCUGGUUUUCAGGUUUAAUUCUUCUUACAUGUAUCUGUUGUUGUAUUUAAAAAAGCAUCCAGAUCAAUGACUUCAUAUGAUAUUUUCCUGCAUUUUUGUUUAUGUACAAAAAGGGAAAUUUUCCUACAACUUCAACCACGUAAUCCGUAGUUUGUUGGUUUGUUUCUAAUAAUAUGCGUGAUCUUUUUCCUUUGAAGUUCGAACCUUUUGAUUUUAGGGAUGUCAUUUAUAAAGAUAUGGGAGAUAUUUUCAGUUCUUUGGCACUUCUUGCUUCUGGAAACUACGCACAGGUGGUGACGAGCAGAUGAAUGGUGACAGUAAGAAGAGGAGGAUAUGGGGACAUUCGACGGUGGCGGCGGCCGAUAUAAUCGUGCCUAUCAUCCUCAAGUUCUCCACCUAGAAGGGCGCCGUUAUGUAAGCGUGGUCCUAUCUGGAUAUUCAUUUCUCCUUGUUCAUCUGCUUCAAUUGUGUUGUGCACUAUAGGGUAUAUUAUGUGCUAUAUCGAUUCAGCUACUAGCUAACGAGUGCAUACUGGCUGGUGUACAAAUUUUAGAAUAUUUGGACUACAUCAAUCUCUUAAAGAAUUUUAUGAUGUUAAAAAUUCACCAUAGUUCCUUCGCUGCGCUCCUCAUUCGGUCUAACACCUCACCACCUGUAACUGGUGUGGCAGUAGCAGUGGGAGCAGAGCAGUCGGCGGGUUCCUGGCUUACCUGCCUCACAACAAGGCGGGCACGGCUGGGCUAGGCAGCCUGGACAUCCAGGAUUCACAAGUCGUGGUCCACUCCUGCUCGGAACGCUACAUGUUGGCAUUAUUAUAAACUCCCCCCUCCCUCACACACACACACACACACACACACACAAGACAACCCUCCAACAAAUCAGUGGGUCGAUCUUGUGUGAAAACUCCUUCAGGGAUAAUACAAAUUUCUGGUUAUUGUGACAGCUAAAGGUUUACACUGGUCAUUACGAAAAUAUUGUCUGCUCGAGUUGGUGAAAUGAAGGUUGUGGAUUAAGUGGAAUUGUAAUGUACACAUUAUUGGUUGCACCUAUAACAUUUUUGGUAAAUUGAUAUUACAACGAGCAACAAUUUUCAGAGCAAAGAAUAUUAUAUGUUCUAGCAAUGGUUUACAAAUCCCUUUUUGUAGAGGAUACUUUGCUUUAUUCAAUGCAGGAAAUAUUUUAGUCCUUACUAGCUCCGUACUGUUGUAAGCACACUGUUCUUUUUGUUCAGUCCAAAGGUUGGUGAACCACAUGUUAAACUUCCAUUGGAAGCCGUAUUACAAAUACCUAUCAUGCAACCAGUUGUUGUACUUUCUUCUUCACUAAUAUUAUUUUAUGAAUUUUUCUAAACCUGGAAGAAGCUUCCGCUAUGAUGUUGUUUGAACCUGAAAAAAGCUUGUACUGCAUUGAUAACUGAACCUGAAAAUUGCUGCAUCCUAUAUACAUUGGUAGAGUAAAAAAUAACUUGAUUUAUGUAGGACUUGUUUUGGAUUAAGUGGAUAGGUGAUGCACUAUUCUUGAUUGCAGCUGGUGCUUUUUUGGUAAUUUGAUAACACCACGAGCAGCAAUCGAGUUUGAAAGCCAGAAAACAUACAAAACAUGUAAAUGGGAGUACUGCCAGUUUAGGAGCCAAGUAACCAUUACUAGAGUAAUCAAUCUGAGAAAUGAUUAGUUGAGGAAAUUGAGUAUUAUUGUACUUCUCGACAAUGAAAUGGUCUUUUUUUUGUUCUAGGAAACGUUGGAGGUAGAAUCAGCUUCAAGCUCGAGUACCCAAUGGUAGAGAAGUAGAAAGGAGGCACAAGAUGGAACUAUGAACUCCGGUAGUAACAUUUUUAUUUCACCAAGUUAGGUUAAUGAUGUUCAGCUUAAUGGACAACUCUACAGACACUUAGUAGAACACAAGCUUUUGUUGUUGACUUCAAUAUAAGGUGCCCUAUGUACUAUUUUUAAGGUGUCAUGCUUCCCAAGAGAAUAUAUCUACAUGUAAAGAACUAGCUAAAUGAACUGGCUCAUCAAUUUCAAUCUAAAUGAACUAGCUCAUAAGCAUUCUUUGAUUUUGCUUCAUUAGUUUUGUUGUAGCAUAGUUCCAUUAAUAUUUGUGAUACUUAUUUUCUGUAUUAUUUACAAUUUUCAUUUAGCAAAGUGAUGUCCCUCUUGAAUAAUCAUAUGCUGCUAUCAGUUCAGACAUUGCACUUAGCAAAUUUAAUCUUUUAUGAGAUUAGAU
rnacentral:lncRNA from 1 species